rnacentral:rRNA from 1 species
AACGAACGCUGGCGGCAUGCCUAACACAUGCAAGUCGAACGAGACCUUCGGGUCUAGUGGCGCACGGGUGCGUAACGCGUGGGAACCUGCCCUUAGGUUCGGAAUAACUCCCCGAAAGGGGUGCUAAUACCGGAUAAUGUCUUCGGACCAAAGAUUUAUCGCCUUUGGAUGGGCCCGCGUUGGAUUAGCUAGAUGGUAGGGUAAAAGCCUACCAAGGCGACGAUCCAUAGCUGGUCUGAGAGGAUGAUCAGCCACACUGGGACUGAGACACGGCCCAGACUCCUACGGGAGGCAGCAGUGGGGAAUAUUGGACAAGGGGCGAAAGCCUGAUCCAGCAAUGCCGCGUGAGUGAUGAAGGCCUUAGGGUUGUAAAGCUCUUUUACCCGGGAUGAUAAUGACAGUACCGGGAGAAUAAGCUCCGGCUAACUCCGUG